UUGGUAAUUAGUUUAAUUAAAACAA
rnacentral:tRNA from 1 species